rnacentral:lncRNA from 1 species
CGAAGCUUCUGCGCUGGAGCCCCCGGACUUACCAGCGCAGAAGAAGAGAGAUGAGAGCAGUGAGGCACAGAGAAGGUGACCGCCUGAGGUAUCUCGGUUGAUGGAAUCUCACUCUGUUGCCUAGGCCAGAUGGAGUGCAGUAGCACGAUCUCAGCUCACUGCAGCUUCUGCCUCCCGGGUUCAAGCAACUCUCCUGCUUCAGCCUCCUGAGUAGUGAGAUUACAGGCUGCACCACAACGCCCAGCUAAUUUUUCUAUCUUUAGUAGAGAGGGGGUUUCACCAUGUUGGCCAGGCUGGUCUGGAACUGUUGACCUUAGGUGAUCCGCCUGCCUCGGCCUCCCAAAGUGCUGGGAUUACAGAUAUGAGCCACCGCAUCCGGCCUAUUCUGCUAGCCUAUUCUGCUAAUUUUUAAGUCUGUGCAACUUUCAAGGGAAAUUAAAUCCCGAUAUGCCCUACUCAUUUUACACCAAAGUCAUCAAAAUGUGGCUUUCAACGCCCCUUUGAAGUCCUAAAACUAGACUUGGUCAAGAGGCCCAAGUGUUUUAAGUGCAUCGGAAACAAAGAAACAUGUUAAUAAAAUGUUUCCUUCUUGGCAGCAUCCUGGUGAGUGCCUCCCUGGGUUGCAAAGGGAAAUGUGAUGAGGAAGAGGUGGGCUUGUGUGCUUUGAAGUGGGCAGGGCCUGGGAAUCUCUACAGGGCAGUGCAGCUGCUGUCCGCUU